AGAACGUGUCGUUGGAAAGCGUGUUGUUGUAUCGUGUCUGACACACAAAAGGCGGCUUUGCAGCGGCGAUCACCUGCCACAGCCGCCGCGUCUCAAAAUACAAAUUUGCCACCACGGUCGGCGGCUAUAAGCGCCUGCAUGCACAUUUUUUGCCGUGUUCUCACGUUGACGGCCGAGUCAGCAACAGCGGGAGGCAGAGCUAUCGUACUGGCGAGCGUGCACUGCACGCUGUGGAAAUUACGGAAACAGAAAAACAGAUUGAACAGGUGGGGAAGUACAAUUUCUUGUACGAUACAGAUUUUGAAGAAGGCCAAAGCAUGGGGCCUCGACGCAGCAGACACACGUCUUCCAGCAGGGAGAAAUAUCUCAGCUGUGAUCCGCAUUCCUAAGAUUUUAUGGGAGCGCAGUUAUCCACUUACACAGAUGGAUGCUGACGUAGAACAAAUCGCACUCUUUGAUCUUCACGUAACAGAUAAAUGAAAACUUUUGCUGUAUCUAGAAGUCCAUCUGUAUCAUUCACCAGCACCUGAUGUUUGUUUACAAAGUACUGAGUGAGGAAUCUAAGAAUGUACCAUGGUCCGAGGUGAAGACGAAAUUAUACGAAUUCCUGCACACACAAACUUAUUUUAACAAUCUCCACUCCAUUUAUGAAUGAAAUACGAAGAAACUCCAAUAUGUGGGCAGUUGGAAGUAUCUUCUCGCCAUAAGUUUUACAGUUGUUUGCAGAGUUUGGUGGUUGUAGUGUUAUAGUCUUCAGUGUGGAUAUUUUUACAUUUUCUCCUUCCAUUUUAAUGAACUUUAUGUACUCCUUGUGGCCAUAAACCCUCAUAAAAAAGUAUCAUUCAUGCUCUAAAAUUUUG